GGGUUCUCCAAAACAGUCCACUUUCCUGGAUGCUCAGUUUCUAUUCUACCUCUGAGAGCAGCAAAGAUUGGAUGUGCCAGGGAGGAGCACAAGAGCAGGCUCUGCGUCCAAACCCAACAGCAACACAAUCAGCUCCUUUGACUGCCUUCCAUCCUGGAACCAUCCUAGGCCACGAGUCCCAGCUGAUUCACUGGGCACUGGCUGCGCCCCAGAGAGCAUCAGCUGUUACAGAACACAGGCUUCGUAUUUCCAGUCCCUGGCAACACUUACUCCUUUAUUCCAGAGAGAGGUCUCUGUUUCGUUAAAAGCUGGCUCUGGCGAUUCAGGUUUCCUCAUCUCGGAAGAUUUCAGUUACAGGUUUUGAUCUGCCAGCAUCAAAGACAUCCUCCUGUUCAGAGCAUGCCUCAGUGAUCACACAAUAAGAAGCAGAAAAGUUUCAAACACAGCUACUGGUUCCCCAGGAGACCAAAGGCAAUUAAUACCAUGUUUUUCUGCAAGGAGCAAAGCUAAUGAACCCUGAUUUCCUACACAAGACAUUCAUCUUCUACCCAGUCUGUACACUGUUAACCCACUGAGCUACUCCACCUCGCACCUCACCCCACUCCUCCUGCAUCGUACUGUGAGGAACAGCCAAGCAUCCAGCUCCACCUCGUUGCUAACAGCCCCUCUGCAGGGCCCUCAGCUUCCCCUGCGCACAUUCUGUAUUUGGUCCACCGCUUGCCAGACAACUCACGCUGUGGCUAUAUGCAUGCUCAGGGAGCAGCAAACAGCUGCCAGGCAGAGUGAGAAAUGUUUGCACCUCCAACAAAAAGCCCAAGGAGCAAUUUUAGAGAAAACCACUGGAACUUCAUAGCUGUGAGACCACAAAGUUGUCAGGUUUUGCUGUAAUAGCGCAGUAAAUACAGAAGCUGUAAGGAAGCAAGAACAAGCAGUCCAAGUGCAAUUUUUCUCUGAAAACCAGGCAACCAAAAGAACACUGAGGGUCUUCUUCCAUGUCUAAACUGUGACCUUGGCUCAGUCACAUAUUGAUCAGUAUCUGAUACGAACCACCACGGUUGUGACACUGACCAUCAUUACAUUUCCAAUAAAAAAUGUGAAAAAUGGUAGUUUAUUAAUAUCUGGAUCAUGAUGGUUGAGUGCCAUUUUCAUAAAUUAACAAUAUUAAGCUUGAAGAUCAGCAGAAGCUGAUUAGACUGACUCUAAAGAGUCUCCAGAUCAUUUGCUUUCCCUCAAGUGGGUGCUUGAACUGGAUUAUCCUCCCUCAAACAAGCUGGGAGCACACUGAGAGCAAGCCUCUGAGUACAGCUACCCAGUCGCUCGAGGGAUGCAUGCUGUACAGGUUUUAGAAUUAAUUUGUGCAUAUAGUACUUAGACCCAUUAGCAAGAAUUGAACGGAUAAUUACAUUAAGCUAGAGUUGCUCACCAAAAUUUUAAGCAAACAUCUGAUCCAACCUGCAAACCAGCACCUCCACUGUUAGCCAGGAUUCAGAACAAGCUGCAGAGAUUAGGAUGUGACAUACCUACAAAGCUAGUUAGCUCUUCCUACCUAUGCCUGUUUCUGCAAGAUGAACUGGACUGCAUCUCACCUUCAUAUGCCAUGGUCAACAAUUUCAAGUGAAAACUGAGCUGACUUUGCCAAAUACUCAUUCAAGAAAAUAAAUAAUUCAUUUAGCAGGCAGCACUUGGGGAAAUGCAAGAAGCUUUUAGGAAACAACACCUACCUUCCAGCCCACGGCUUUCUUACAGGUGGCCGUAUACUGUGAUUGCUGCUGUUUGUAACAGUGUCUGAAUAAUUUGUUUGUAGCUUCCUCCUCAUUCUGAACAAUCCAAUCCUGCAAUUAAAAAACAGAGUAAGACGAAAGGAGCAUUACACCAGUAAAGUACGUUAGUGACCAAUUCAUGCGCCAGACCCAUAGAAUUCAGUUUUGUUUUUAAAAUAGAAACAAUCUUAAGGAUCUAAACUAGCUGUGCUAAUUAAACAUGCUGAAAAUUAGGCAUAACAUUUCUGACAAGGGCCUAGAAUAAAUGUCCUUGUUUUCAGUACUCUCUCCAGAUAUACUGCAUCUAUUAAGCAGGAUCACGGCUGUCCUGUUAAUUUCUGCCAUCUGUGGUCAGUUAAAGUUAAAUAAAUUGAUGUUACCAUUCUCAUAAUUUGAUCAUGUAAACCUUUUCUUUUGGUGCCUUAAGUACAAGGAACUACAGAAUGGUAUAUUUUUGAGGGGAGAGAAUUUCUGGCAUAAUUCCUUCACCAUACAAGAUCAGCUUUUUUGUUAGCUGCAUUUUUAAGUCAUCUACAUGGGAUCCAGUUAUUUAAGUUUGAUUCAUCUUCUUUUAACCUGCUGUUAGAAGGAAGAUGUUCGUGCCUUAGCUUUAAGCUCACUGAUCACAGGAGCAGCAAAUCGAUCCAUUUCUUGAAGAUGGUUGGAAAUACCAUCAAAGGGAAAGCAGCGUCUGCGCCCAUUUCAUUUCAGGUUCUGAACUAGUUCUAAACUGAGAGGUAGAAGAAAGAUGCAUCAAACAGCUUUGCCAGGAAGCAACUUAAUAGCAUGGGAAAAACACCUGGACAAAGAAUGAAAUGAAAAAUGAGGUGAUGGGAGAGAGACCAAAUGCUUAAUCACUACGUUGUUUGGUGCAUCUUGGUCAUGUCCUAGGCUGAUCUCUAUCUACUAAAAAUGGCGUUAGAGCUACUGACGCUUUAUUUGUAGGAAAUAAAUGUUUACAAGAGGAAAGAGAUUACUUAAUUUUCAAGACCAAGAGUUCUUGCAAAGGAAUUUGUUAAACAACCGUAAAGCCAAGGAGAAAUGCUUCACAGCAGCGGUGACGGAAGAGCUCUGACUGAGGAUUCACAGACCAUGUGCAAAACUAUUUCAGACAGUUCUUAAUCACUAGCUUGAAAACCAGCAGGCACUCUGAAUGCCAGGGGUAUCAAGGUGAAUGUCACAUACACUGCAAAGAGUAUUUUCUUUUUUAAUUGGCAAUGCUUGAAAAAGGUGGCAGAGGCUUUGCAGGCUAUUGGGAAGGUGCAGAAAUAUGGAGGUGAUACAGCACAAAUGCUGCACUUGUUGCAAAUGUACUCUCUCACAAAAUGUACUGAAAUACUGGAAAGUUUGCAGAACACUUCUCUUUAAGAGAGAGAAAAUAAAAGAACAAGUGAAACUUGGUCCAGAUUAGAUCACAAGUCUUUAAAACCAGAGAGGGAAGUGAAGAAGACAGCAAGAUGAAAGGGAAGAGGAGACAAAAGCAAUUUACAGCACUGUGAGUGCCAGACCCUCCGUGUGCACUCAUGCAGCUCCUCAGUUUGUGAGGACCCCAGAUGAGCCCCUCCUGAAAAGCAUUCCCUCUUCUAACAGGCAUGGGCAGUACAAAAGCAAUGAUCUGGACCAGCUGCAAACCUCAGCUCCUGAGCAUCUCAACACACCUACAUCAAGUAUGGCCACCUCUGUUCCAAAAUUGGUGAUCCUUAGAACACCCCGGGAGCAGGCUUAGCUGGAACACUAACACACAAACUUGCGUGCAGCAGUAGCAGCCAGUGAAGGUACCACCUCCUUCCAUGGAGCACAGAGCCAGAGCCCUGCAGCCAGCCGCUCCCCUGGGAUGGCAAGAUGAUCCCAGUGGUCUUCUGCAGCCUUAAUGACUCUUUGAUUCUCUAUUUCUGAGGGAACUCAAGCAGCCCUUGAAAAGAGCAACUAGCUUCGAUACAAAUGCGUCACCCGGGAAUUUGCAAAUGGAGGGCGCAGAGCUGCAACCGGACGUUCAACUCGAGAAUUUGCACUCGUCCCUUGAUUUCUAUGGGCCCAACCUUAGAAGAGACAAACACCCCUCACCGCACAGCCAUCUGCAUCACCGCUGUCUGGCAGCACGCACCUCUUCACGGCGGAGAUGUAUCGCAGCUGCGACACAUCAGUGCAAACGCUGGAGUUCCCUGUGGCCCGUUAAAGGCUCCUUAUCGCUGCGGAGGGGGCACCCAUCAGAGCUGCGUGUACGUGCAAGAGCGGGCUUUGCCCGGGCAGGUUGCAGCCCGCUGGCAGUCGGCUCGUGCCUUUCAACACCUGUUCAGCACAGGUGUUCUGCCCCGUCUCAUUUUGCUGCGGAGCGGCUCCCACCUGCUUCCAACCGC
ensembl:lncRNA